rnacentral:rRNA from 1 species
GCUUAUCACCAUUCCAGAUUGAAUAUACCCAAUCUCGUCGGAUCUCGGAAGUCAAGCAAUCUCGGGCUUGGUUAGUACUUGGAUGGGUGACCGCUUGGGAAUACCAAGUGUGAUAAGCA